rnacentral:rRNA from 1 species
AUACGGAGGGUGCAAGCGUUGUCCGGAUUUAUUGGGUUUAAAGGGUACGUAGGUGGAUUCUUAAGUCCGUGGUGAAAGCCCGCAGCUCAACUGCGGAACUGCCAUGGAUACUGGGAAUCUUGAAUUCAGUUGAGGUUGGCGGAAUUUAUGGUGUAGCGGUGAAAUGCAUAGAUACCAUAAAGAACACCUAUUGCGAAGGCAGCUAACUGGACUUGAAUUGACACUGAGGUACGAAAGCGUGGGGAGCGAACAGGAUUAGAUACCCGGGUAGUCC